UUGGAGGGCAAGUCUGGUGCCAGCAGCCGCGGUAAUUCCAGCUCCAAUAGCGUAUAUUAAAGUUGUUGCAGUUAAAAAGCUCGUAGUUGAAUUUCGGGAUCAAUAUGUUGGUCGUGCCUUGGUACGUACUAAUUUAUUGGUUUCUUCCUUCUGGCGAACCAUGAUGUCAUUAAUUUGGUGUCUUGGGGAAUCAGGACUGUUACUUUGAAAAAAUUAGAGUGUUUAAAGCAGGCUCACGCUUGAAUACAUUAGCAUGGAAUAAUGAAAUAGGACGUUUGAUUCUAUUUUGUUGGUUUCUAGGAUCGACGUAAUGAUUAAUAGGGAUAGUUGGGGGCAUUAGUAUUCAAUUGUCAGAGGUGAAAUUCUUGGAUUUAUUGAAGACUAACUACUGCGAAAGCAUUUGCCAAGGAUGUUUUCAUUAAUCAAGAACGAAAGUUAGGGGAUCGAAGACGAUCAGAUACCGUCGUAGUCUUAACCACAAACUAUACCGACUAGGGAUCGGAUGAUGUUAAUUUUUUAAUGACUCAUUCGGCGCCUUACGGGAAAC
rnacentral:rRNA from 1 species